UGGGGAAUAUUGCACAAUGGGCGCAAGCCUGAUGCAGCCAUGCCGCGUGUAUGAAGAAGGCCUUCGGGUUGUAAAGUACUUUCAGCGGGGAGGAAGGGAGUAAAGUUAAUACCUUUGCUCAUUGACGUUACCCGCAGAAGAAGCACCGGCUAACUCCGUGCCAGCAGCCGCGGCAAUACGGAGGGUGCAAGCGUUAAUCGGAAUUACUGGGCGUAAAGCGCACGCAGGCGGUUUGUUAAGUCAGAUGUGAAAUCCCCGGGCUCAACCUGGGAACUGCAUCUGAUACUGGCAAGCUUGAGUCUCGUAGAGGGGGGUAGAAUUACAGGUGUAGCGGUGAAAUGCGUAGGGAUCUGGAGGAAUACCGGUGGCGAAGGCGGCCCCCUGGACGAAGACUGACGCUCAGGUGCGAAAGCGUGGGGAGCAAACAGG
rnacentral:rRNA from 1 species